rnacentral:lncRNA from 1 species
GCGCGGCGUCUAGAGCCCCGGCAGCCGCCGCCCCUUCCUCCCGCGCGAGCAGGACCGCGGGCCUGAGGGGGGAUCGCUCCCCUCGGCGCCGAGGAGGCGGCCCCGACAUCCCGUCCGUCCGCACCCAACUCCGUGGACCCCAGACGCGUCCUGCAUGGUGGGGCGCAGCUCCCUUACCGUGCAGCGGCUCCGGGCGGCUCCUCGGCCCCGCGAAGCGCGGGGCAUUUUUUUCUGGGAAACUUCUCUCUGGGUCCGCAGGGCUGAGCCAGGGCGGGCAGGAAAAGCGCUCCGCGCCGGGAGGCUGCGACCAUCCGGGAACUUCGCCGAGAUGUGAGCCCUCCCCCUCGGCCCGCGUCCUCCCCCUACGGCCCCCGCCACACGCGGACGCCGAGGCAGCCGCUGGCCCUUCGCCCUUCGCCCUCGCCGCGCCCUGCCAUCCGAGGCCGCGAGGACCAGAGCCUGGGCUGGGCUCUCCCCGGGGCGGAGGCCGAGGGGUCCGGACCCGCGUGCGCCCAGGAGCCGGACCUGGAAGGGAUACCCAACCGAGGACGCUGUCCCUAGAGACUGCCCGGGCCUCCGGAUGAGGUCCUCUCCCCCCACCACAGGGAAAGCCUUUUCCCGUCAUCUCCACUCCGCUCCGGAGUCAGAGGGCCCCGCUUUGAGAAACUUAAAAGUUUCCAUUCACUUUAAAAGCUGGCUUUUACAACGGAGUGGCCCCACUGCAGCCCAAGGGCCACGCGCGUCCCCGGUCCCCGCCCACUGGGAGCGCACUGCUCUUCCAGGGUAAGGUGCCAGUCAGUUGGGAUUCUUGGAAUCUUUUAUUUAUUUAUUUUUUCUCCCACCGACUUCUGCAAACAUAGAAAGAUCU